UCCAACUCCUCAAUCCUGAUGCUGCAGGGGACCUGACCACCAAAACUGAUAGGUACAAAUGAAUUUAUCAAAGAUUAAGUGACAACCCUAGGGUUAGGCGAAGUACGGUACCAUCAUGGUGGCCGCAGUUACCUUGUUGAUAAAUCUUGAUGUAACUCAUUAUCUACAUAAGAUAUAUUGAAAACAAUUGUACAACAUAAAAGACGAUAAAGUAGUGAUUUUAUUUUACAAUAAAAUUUAGCCAUACUUGUCGUAGAUUCUUGGCGGCACGUAAAGUUUUUGACCGGUAGAAAAAAACAUCUCACUUCCCGCAGCAGAUAAAUGGCUCUGGUCGCUAUUGUUGUAAAGUUAGUUACAAAUGGUCAGGAAUAGUAUUGCCGUAGAUAACACUAGUAUUGUAUUUGGUAGGUUUUGAGCUGUUCGGUUCCCAACUUUAGCAGAUUUUUCGAUGUUUUUAAAAUUAGGCGAAGUAUGGUUUAGCAGGCGAAGUCAAGGGACUCGACGGUACAAUUUUUGUAUGCCAAAACCUUGACAUUUG